UGCCAGCCGCCGCGGUAAUACGAAGGGUGCUAGCGUUGUUCGGAAUUACUGGGCGUAAAGAGCAUGUAGGCGGAUGAAUUAGUCAGAGGUGAAAGCCCCGAGCUCAACUUGGGAACUGCCUUUGAUACUGUUUAUCUAGAGUCCGAGAGAGGUUAGUGGAAUUCCCAGUGUAGAGGUGAAAUUCGUAGAUAUUGGGAAGAACACCAGUGGCGAAGGCGGCCAUCUGGACCGGAUCUGACGCUGAGGCGCGAAAGCGUGGGGAGCAAACAGGAUUAGAUA
rnacentral:rRNA from 1 species